UCUUCUCCUGCAUCGCCUACCUCAACCUGACGCCUACCCGUCCGUCCCUACUCUGCGACAUGCCCAACGUCAACCUCAAGUCGCGCGCCGCUUUGGCGGCGGCCGCCGCGUGCCUCGCGGUCCUCGCGGCAGCGGCGCUGCUCCACCGCAGGCGCAGCCGAUGUCACGCGCCCGCCACGUCUCGCCGCGUCGAGGGGCGGCGGCCCCGACACGCGCGCCGCGCCUGCGAGGAGGAGGAGAAGCCGCAGGCCCGGUUCAAGCGCGUGUUUGCGGAUAACUCCUACUCUCCCUUCAAGCACCUGCGGCGUCAGGGCGCCGACCCUGUUGCUGACGGCCAACGCGGCGAUGCCCAGCCGCAGCCGCUAGAAUCAUCACAAAAGAUGCACCCAUUUGGGGAGGAAAUUACUUCCUUACUGGACAAUCCAACCGGGUUUUCGACUUUUUGCAACUUCACACUAAGCAGCCAAUGCCCAGAAAUGAGCACCUCAUACAAUUGGGUCAACACAGUUGCUCAAUUGGAGCAUCUAGCUAAAUUGUUGAGUGAUGAAGAAGUUUUUGCUGUUGAUACAGAGCAACAUAGCCUUCGGUCCUUCCUAGGAUAUACUGCACUUGUGCAGAUAUCUACCCAGAAGGAAGAUUAUUUGAUAGACACAAUUGCGCUACAUGAUGCAAUGGGCAUUCUAAGACCAGUUUUUUCCAGUCCGUCCAUCUGUAAGAUCUUCCACGGAGCUGACAAUGAUGUUCUUUGGCUUCAGAGAGAUUUUCAUAUUUAUGUCGUGAAUAUUUUUGAUACUGCCAAAGCAUGUGAGGUUCUAUCAAAACCACAGAAAUCAUUAGCAUAUUUGCUCGAAAUAUAUUGUGGAGUGACCACUGACAAGACAAUGCAGCGUGAAGAUUGGAGAGUGCGCCCUCUGACACCGGAAAUGGUUGAGUAUGCUCGUUCUGAUGCCCACUAUCUGUUGAAAAUUGCAAAUUGUUUGGCAUCAGAGCUCCAUGCAAAAGCCUGUGAUUCGCCAGAUGGUAAAACCAAUUUUUUCCUGGAGGCUAGCCGUCGGUCAAACAUGGUGUGCAUGCAACUAUAUGCGAAGGAAAUUGAAUGUCCUCCAGGAGCUUCCUCUGCAGCAUCUAUUCUCUCACGUAAUUUACAAACUCAUGGACUUGACUCCAAGAAAUCUAGUGAAGUGAAGGAUCUUGUUCGGAAAUUUUGCGCAUGGAGAGAUUUAAUGGCUCGCAUGCAUGAUGAAAGCUUACGAUAUAUCCUGUCAGAUCAAGCUAUAGCCUCCCUUGCUGUUAGUGUUCCCAAAGGUCCAAUGGAGAUGUGUACUGUCAUAGCAGAGACCGAGCUGAGUUCUUCAACUACACAUUCUUCCUUGUCAUCACCAUCCCCUAUUGUUGUCGCUCACAUUGAAGAACUUUGCUAUCUCAUUGAGGACACCACUGUCAGCAUGGAUGACUUAUUUACAAGUUUGCUUGGGAAGUAUAAAGAACCAAGUGGACUAUGUCGACUAUCAGUUUAUAAUUAUAACCUUGUAUCACAGCUAAGUUUGAAGCAAACAAAUAUGUUUGUCUUUGCUUCAAGCGGAGAAAAGUUGUUGACAGCACCACCUAAUAAAAAGGCUUCCCGGGAAUCAUUCAUAAAAAAGUUUUCAUGUAAGUCCCCAGUUUAUCACAAUUGCAGGAUCUAUGCUAGUGAUGGAAGACUACUUUGCUACUGUGACCGCAAAAAAUUGGAAUGGUAUAUUCAACGGGAUUUGGCAAAGUUGGUAGAAGAUAAUCCCCCAGGAAUCAUGCUUCUCUUCGAACCUAAGGGUCGUCCAGAGGAUGAAGAUAAUGAAUUUUAUAUCCAGAGCAAGAAAAAUAUUUGUGUUGGAUGUGGAGAAAAGAGCCACUAUAUCAGAUAUAGAAUAAUACCAUCUUGCUACAGGAUGCAUUUUCCGGAGCACCUAAAGAGCCACCGUUCACAUGAUAUUGUGCUUCUAUGUGUGGAUUGCCAUGAAAUCGCUCAUUCAGCAGCUGAGAAGUACAAGAGGCGACUAGCAGAAGAACUUGGGAUACCCCUUUUCGUGCAGAGGAUAGUGAACUCGGGUGAUAGAAGUUUAAUAACAGAUGCAUCAGUAUCUGAUGAAAAAUCAAAUGGAUCGGGUGUGUCUCCUUUGCUGCUCAGGACUGCUGCAAUGGCCCUUCUACGGCAUGGAACCAAUAUGCCUUCGAAGAGAUGUGAAGAGCUAAUGCAGAUUGUAAAGUCGUACUACGGUGGUAGGGAUGUGACUCCUGAAGACUUGGAGAUGGCAUUACUUGUUGGUAUGAGCCCCCAUGAACGAAGGAGGCUUGAAAAGAAAAAGGGGUAUCCUCAUUCUUUUAGAGCUCAGACUCAAAACAUUAUUAGAAAGAGUAGCAACGGGACCAUCUUAGAAGACAAUGGACAUGAUUCAGAAAAUAGCCAUGCGCUUCCUCAGCAACUUCCAGAAGAUGGAAAUGAGAAUAACGGAAAUAAUGGUGAACAAGAUGCUGACGAGACUGAGUGUAAUAGUCAGGCAGAAGAUUUAACUGUUAGCCAAGGAAGCACAAGUAUACUGGAUGAUUCCACUUCUGGGCCCAAUACGGAGACAGUUAGAACAGAUGCCGUGCAGCACUCAAGCAGCGCAUUCGGUCGUGUGACUGUCCAUCUCGAUGAGGAUCCAACCAGCAGUGACAAUUCCAGCCAAGCUAUUUCCAGGAAUGCUGACAAGAAGAUAUCGCUGUUGGGACAUGGGCAUCACGGUAAACAAGUUGUGGAGCUUUUGCUGGCCAACGGUGGGGAGGAGGCUGUUCACCAGUUUUGCCAAAGGUGGAGGCAUGUUUUUGUAGAAGCUGUUCACCCCCGUUAUUUACCUUCUGGUUGGAAUAUAAAUCACAGUGGACGAAGGGAUUUCGGUGACUUCAGUGUCUACAAACCAUCCAACCAAGAGCCUCAGCCUGCUGGCCUAUAGGGGCAGCGGAUCAGUACCUUCUUUUACAGAGUUGCUUCCAUUUCAUCAAGCCUGAUAUUUACCCGUUUCUUUCGGCGAGGCAGGCAGGCAGGGCGCUCCACAUGAUCCUUGGCAAUCUCGGUCAGUAGCCUCCACCACUCAGCCCGGCUUGAAAACCCCACCAGCUCACUUCUCCACCCAAACCCAAUCCAAAAUCUUUCCCUCCCUCCCGUCCGUU